rnacentral:rRNA from 1 species
GAUGAACGCUAGCUACAGGCUUAACACAUGCAAGUCGAGGGGUAACGAGAGGAAAGCUUGCUUUCCUUGUCGACGACCGGCGCACGGGUGAGUAACGCGUAUCCAACCUGCCCCCAACUAGGGAAUAACCUUGCGAAAGUAAGACUAAUACCCUAUAAUUUCCUCAGCUGUCAUCUUACGAGGAAUAAAGAUUUAUCGGUUGUGGAUGGGGAUGCGUCUGAUUAUCUGGUUGGCGGGGUAACGGCCCACCAAGGCAAAGAUCAGUAGGGGUUCUGAGAGGAAGGUCCCCCACAUUGGAACUGCGACACGGUCCAAACUCCUACGGGAGGCAGCAGUGAGGAAUAUUGGUCAAUGGGCGGAAGCCUGAACCAGCCAAGUAGCGUGCAGGAUGACGGCCCUAUGGGUUGUAAACUGCUUUUAUACAGGAAUGAGGUUAGCCACGUGUGGUUAUUUGUAGGUACUGUAUGAAUAAGGACCGGCUAAUUCCGUGCCAGCAGCAGCCGCCG